rnacentral:lncRNA from 1 species
UUAAACGGUCGGCACUGAUCAAUAAAGGGGCAAGUGAACAACCCCGCUGUUACAGGCACCGCACGCAGCGCGCCCUGGCGGGGUUGCCACGAACCCCGACUGCCGUCACGAAAAGGGUGUGAUGCGCCUGUUUUCUGUGCCGAGUACUCCAAAUACUCCAUUUAACUUGACCUCCGCCUACUGACAAAUAUUCCACGAAAGUUCAUUUCGCCCUUACGCUUAAUUAUACCCAAGUUAAGGCCGUCUGCCUUCGUGUGUGUGCGUCUUGAUUUCUUUACGAGCCAACAUCCCCCGUUUUCGCGGUCGGGCAAGUUUUUUUACGAGUCCCUGGUCAGUUCCGUCGAGCAAGCUGUUAUCAAGUGUUUUUUCCUCCCCUCGACAUUUUUCCCACCGAGAUAAAAAUAUCACGGGGCCCUUUGUUCCGUUUGCGUUACUUUGUUCUAUUGUUGUCUAUGAAUAGACGAUUCGAAAUCAUCAAAGGCGUUACUUCUAGUUUCUUGUAUAAAAAUCGCCUCGUUUAUGCCCUCGCCUCUCAAACUUGUAUUUAGUGCACUUCAUGGUACCUCCUUAAUCCCUGUUACAACCUGGAUAUCCUGGGCUUAACCAAGAUUGAACUUUCGUCCAAGGAUAAGUAUGGCCUGACGAGAGAAGAUGAAGGCAGCAGCAAAGGAGAAACCAGACCCACCCGCCAGCAUCAGUUCUUCUCAGAUUCCAAAAUGCGGUCCCAUUCCUCUUGGUUCAUAUGCUGAUCAAGAACUGGCUGGAUUAAAAUGAGGAGGAAGAAUUCGGUGCUCCAGUUAAAUGCAAUUUUUAUGUUUUACCUAUCACAUAUCUAUAUAGUCAGCUCUUCUCAAUUUUUCAAGGGAAAGCGAGAAACGAGGGGACGAGACCUGUUCGGUUGGCAGCAGUUG